CUCAGCCAUUUUCAUUUUUCAUCACCCCCUCUUUUUUUUCCUGCUCCCGAAGAUAUUGUCUCCUUGAUAUCAACUGAAGAUUCAGUUCCUGUCUCGACCUAAAAUUGAUCUUCAGUUGCAGUCUUGUAUUCGAUCUGGGUUUGUCAAAGUUGAAGAGGUGACUCUGAAGAACUAAAGAACAUAGACAGGUGCACUCAAAAGGGGUUAAUAUGCAACUUGUUGAGAAGUUGCUAUCACAGUCAGAAAAGACAUCAAGUGCUGAAACAAUUCCACUGGAGAAUUCUUCUCUAUGGAAGACCCUUGGGAAAACGUACGAGACUUGGAUCUGUCCUCUUGUUCAUUCACUUAUUGAGCAUACUGAUGAUAUGAUUUUAAGAUUGUGUCAAGACAUUGUUUUGAUGAAGGAUGAACUUGCGGAGCUACUAUUGUCACAUGUCUUGGUGAACUUAGCGAGAACUAAGGGUUCACAAGUUGAUCUUUGUAAAUUAAUCUCCUCACUGGUUUAACAUCCUACCUACUGUCACUCUACUUAUGCAUUUGGACCCAUUUCGGUGUUAUCUCUCUGUGGAGCUAUUCAUUAGGGUCUCCAACCAUUCCUUUGUUGCUAUAGGGGAUAUCUUUGUACUGUUGUUUCCCUUUUUGUUAGAAAUGUACUGGUACCAUAUCUUACUUGCACCAAUUUUUACGGUGAUGUUUUAUCUGUAUUAUAUAUUUUCGAAUGCAGGUCCAAGAAAACAUCUUUACGGAGUCUAAUGAACUGAUGAAAUCAGUUCAGAUUAUGCUGGAUGCACUGAAUGAAACCCGACUAUAUCAUGUCAUGGAAAGAGGGCGCACUUCCUCAGCACCACUCAAGCGAGAUAGUCCGAAGAAAUGUACCAGUCGAAAGAUUAGGGGUGUUGAAUUGAAGCUUCUAGAACAGGGUUUGUCAAGGUUGAAGAGGUGAACUACUUUGAAAAAAGAACUCUGAAGAACUGAAGAACAUAGAAAGGUGACUGCAGUGCAGGUCAAUUGAAGUAGGUGCCACCUGGGGGAAUAUCAAUCCCUGGUAAGUACACUUCUUUUGCUUAUGCUUAUCAUAUUGAAAUCUGUUGGAUACUAAUCUUGAGUAUAUAAUUGCUUUUGAGGUAAUAUGUUGUUCUUGAUGUUGCUACGGGAUUAUAUUGUUGCUGACCUUUCUCCGUUUCAAUAUGUCUAUUAACAACAAAAUAUGAAGAUAGAUUCAGCAAAAGCUUAUGUCCUGUGCUGUCCGUCUCCCCAUUCUGCACCGACCUGUGAAUUUCCAAUUCCCUUUGUUGUCCUUCAACAUGAUGUAGAUACCCUCACAGCAGCAGUAGUUUCUGAAUGUUCAUGAUCAACAACUACUCGGAAACGAAGAUUCUACAAAAUCUAGGGUUUAGUCUUUUGUUUGUGACAUCAGUACUGAAACAUCAAGUUGGUUAUUAUGCUGGUAUUUGGGCUUAAGUCAAAAAGCAGUACUCUGGUGAUAUUUUAGAAGCAGUUGAAUCUUUGCUGAGGAGAUUGGUUAAGCAAGCAGAGUCUGGUGAUACUUCUGGUGAUAUUUAGUCUUUCUUUCCCUGUUUUUCAAUGCCUCUGUCAGUUGACACAAACUAGGUUACCCAUCCAUUUAUAAACAUCAACAUUGAUUGAAUUUUUUAUGUCAGACACAACAUACAUAAGUUUACUUGUGUACAUUUGUAUAAUUGAAGAACCCGUUCUUUUAUGAUAAUAUUAUCUAGUGGUGAUUCUCAACUACAUUUGUAUCAGUUUUGUAUUGCCAUUGUAACUUGUAAAUCUGUGUGGAUGUUGGAUAUCGGGAACUGG